rnacentral:tRNA from 1 species
GGACGAAAAUCCGUUGGUUUCACAGGACCGUGAGGGUUCGACUCCCUCUAUCCCCAGCG